rnacentral:rRNA from 1 species
UCGAGCGAACAGACGAGGAGCUUGCUCCUCUGACGUUAGCGGCGGACGGGUGAGUAACACGUGGAUAACCUACCUAUAAGACUGGGAUAACUUCGGGAAACCGGAGCUAAUACCGGAUAAUAUAUUGAACCGCAUGGUUCAAUAGUGAAAGACGGUUUUGCUGUCACUUAUAGAUGGAUCCGCGCCGCAUUAGCUAGUUGGUAAGGUAACGGCUUACCAAGGCAACGAUGCGUAGCCGACCUGAGAGGGUGAUCGGCCACACUGGAACUGAGACACGGUCCAGACUCCUACGGGAGGCAGCAGUAGGGAAUCUUCCGCAAUGGGCGAAAGCCUGACGGAGCAACGCCGCGUGAGUGAUGAAGGCCUUCGGAUCGUAAAACUCUGUUAUUAGGGAAGAACAAAUGUGUAAGUAACUAUGCACGUCUUGACGGUACCUAAUCAGAAAGCCACGGCUAACUACGUGCCAGCAGCCGCGGUAAUACGUAGGUGGCAAGCGUUAUCCGGAAUUAUUGGGCGUAAAGCGCGCGUAGGCGGUUUUUUAAGUCUGAUGUGAAAGCCCACGGCUCAACCGUGGAGGGUCAUUGGAAACUGGAAAACUUGAGUGCAGAAGAGGAAAGUGGAAUUCCAUGUGUAGCGGUGAAAUGCGCAGAGAUAUGGAGGAACACCAGUGGCGAAGGCGACUUUCUGGUCUGUAA